GAUGAACGCUGGCGGCGUGCCUAAUACAUGCAAGUCGAGCGAACAGAUAAGGAGCUUGCUCCUUUGACGUUAGCCGCGGACGGGUGAGUAACACGUGGGUAACCUACCUAUAAGACUGGAAUAACUCCGGGAAACCGGGGCUAAUGCCGGAUAACAUUUAGAACCGCAUGGUUCUAAAGUGAAAGAUGGUUUUGCUAUCACUUAUAGAUGGACCCGCGCCGUAUUAGCUAGUUGGUAAGGUAACGGCUUACCAAGGCAACGAUACGUAGCCGACCUGAGAGGGUGAUCGGCCACACUGGAACUGAGACACGGUCCAGACUCCUACGGGAGGCAGCAGUAGGGAAUCUUCCGCAAUGGGCGAAAGCCUGACGGAGCAACGCCGCGUGAGUGAUGAAGGUCUUCGGAUCGUAAAACUCUGUUAUUAGGGAAGAACAAAUGUGUAAGUAACUGUGCACGUCUUGACGGUACCUAAUCAGAAAGCCACGGCUAACUACGUG
rnacentral:rRNA from 1 species